rnacentral:lncRNA from 1 species
AUUUGAUAAGAAAUGGUGCACAGAGAAAGAAAUACUAGCUGAUUCAAUUGAGCAUUUAAUACAAGUAAAAUAUAUGUCAAACAAGGCAAAUUAUUCAUAAGAUAAUUAAUCAUAGCCUUUCAUGUCAAUAAGAGUUAGCAUAAAGGUCAUUAACUCACUCAACAAAUAUUUACUUAUAGCAGGAGAACUUUUUCUGUGCUGUAUGGAGCACCUCAUGCUACUUCACCAAGGCUGACGUCAUGUGGAAAAUGGCCAGUGAUUUUCGUGUCCACCCUGGAGUGUGAAAAGAAACGUCAAUUCAGGCUAGACCAAAGAAACCACCCACAAGGAGUCCCUGGAUAUGAAGUGUCAAAGGCACGUUCUGUAACUGAGAACCAUCACUGAGGAAUUCAGCAAAGUGACAAAACCUUGGUUGCAUCUCUCAUACAUCUGUCAAAAACUAUGGUGGCUAGAAGAGUUAAGAUUCCGUUUCCUGAAUGCCAAGAAAACUUCGAGAUUUGAUCCAAGUGGUAUACAGGGUAGUUUACAGUGGUUACGUCAUAACUGCAGGAACCCGGUUUCAUCCAUCUUCAGCCACUCAGAUAAAGAAAGCUCUUGGAAGGCAAGAAGCAGUGACAAUCUGUUCCCUUGGUAACAUCCUCUGAAGAGCAUCUGGGUCACGUAAGCCAGGAAUGGUGAGGUUUAUCAAAUGAACUUGGUGGGAGUAAAUGAGAACUGUAUUUGCAAAUUACUGAUCACUUUCCACUCUGUCUCUAUUGCGUAAAUGACUCCAACGUUUUAUUUCUGACCACUUCUAUGACGUGGAAGGGUGAAGUGAAGGCCAUUGAAAUGAGCAAAACUCUCACAGUUACCAUCUCCAAGGGUGCAGAUUUCACUCCUGGGAGCAUAGCAAUGUCCUCAUUGCAAUGAAGAGAAUGGCUGUUUCCCGCUCCUCUCAUUCUCACCCAAGAGGAAUUGUGCUCUCUUUCAUGGAUGAUGCCCAGGGAAGUAAAAUAAGUGUGCGGACAGACUCAGAAGCCCAGAGCUCAGGGACAUGUGCCAUGCUGUAACUGGGCAAUGCAGCUGUUGAGACCGCAGAGAACCGCCAUACCCAAAAUAUAGCUUUGAGCCUGGCGUUCUCAGCAGGGCUAUUUUCCUU